rnacentral:lncRNA from 1 species
AAUUUUGCUCUUGUUCUGAAUGUAUGAUAUGCCCUGGGUUUGUACUUGUUUCUAAUGAUUUAUUCUCAUAUAUGUUUUUAUUACAGCAAUUUGUUCUUUCAUCAGCCUUAUUAUUUGCAGGUAUAUCUGAUGAUUUUGUGUUUGUUGCUGUUUUGUUUCUUCCAGGUAUGACUGCUGGAAUUUUAUUUUUGUUAUUGGUUUCAGAUUGUAUAUUAUCUGAACUUUCAGGUUUUGUUUUAUUCUUUUCUUGAUAUUCAUUGUGAUGAUGAAUGAUUUGAUUAUAUAAUUCUUGCAAUGGUUUUUCAUUAUCCUUUAUACUUUUAAUUGGGUUUUUGAAGGGGAAAAUAUUUUCCCUAAAUGUUAUAUUUCUUGAAAUAUGAAAAUCCAUCUUUUCCAAGUCUAAUAUGAGAUAUCCUUUUGUGUUGGAUGGAUAUCCCAUAAAAACACCUUUAAAUGUUCUUGGUGAAAAUUUGUGGUCCCUUUUAUUUGUAGUUGCAUAACAUAAACAACCAAAUGUUUUAAGAUUGUUAUAACUAGGUGUUUGUUUAUAUAAUACUUCAUAAGGAGUUUUAUUUUUUAAAACCUUUGAGGGAAUCUUAUUGAUUAUAUGGGCAGCUGUUAAAACACACUCCCCCCAAUAUUUUAGAGGUACUGCACUUUGAAAAUGCAGUGCUCUUGCUACUUCCAACAGAUGCUUGUGUUUUCUUUCCACAAUGGCAUUCUGUUGGGGGUAUAUGGACAGGAAUAUUGAUGAAUUAUUCCAUGUUUAUCUAGUAAUGUUUUGAAUUUAAUUGAAUUAAAUUCUCCUCCAUUGUCACUUCUUAUUGUUUUUAUAUUUUUGUUGAAGAAAUUCUUAACUCUUGUUAUGAAUCUUGUCAUGCAUUCUAAAACCAUGUCUUUGGUUUUGAUUAAGAAAAUCCAAGUCAUCCUACUUAGAUCCUCAACUAUAGUUAGGAAAAAAGAAUAACCAUCAUGUGUGGUUAUUGGGAAUUUUCCCCAAACGUCUAUGUGUAUUAGAUCAAAUAGAUGUUUUGAUUUUGACAAGCUAUUUUUGAAUUUUAAUUUAGCUUGUUUUGCAAAUGGACAGAUAUGACAUGUUUCUUUUAUAGAAUCAAAAUCUUUAUUGAAAUCUGAAUUUAUUUGUUUAUUUUGAAAAACAUAUCCAUUAUCUAGUUUAUUACAAUCUGAAAAUGGUUUACAUUCUAUUUUAUUAUCCUUAGCUAGAAGCUUCAUCUUCUCUGAUGAUAAAUGCCCCAGCCUUCUAUGCCAAAUUUGAGAGUCCAUGGCUAUACAUGCAAGAUCAGGAGAUUGUGGCUUCAAGAAGUAGAGUCCACCUUGGCAUCUACCCUGCCCAAUCACUUUCCCUGAUAUUCUUUCCUGAAAUUGACAGUUGAUCUCAUCAAAAAUGACAUUUACAUUUGAGUCAGAUGCUAAUCUAUUGACUGAAAUUAGAUUAACCUUGAAUUGGGGAAUAUAUAAGACGUUUUUCAGUACAAUAUCUUUAGAUAUUGUUAUAUUUCUUGUUGAGAUAACUUUGCAUUUUUCACCACUUGGUAUGGUGACAAAAUGUUCAUGUUCUUCUAUUGGGGUUUUAUCAAAUAAAUGGAUGCUUCCAGUCAUAUGCUUGGAAGCUCCAGUGUCUAUGAUCUAAGUAUUUUUGAAAUUUAAUGAAUUAAAUGAAAAGUUCAUACCUGAGGAUUUAUUUAAAAAAUCCUUAAGCAUCAUAAGUUCUUCAUUAGUCAGAUUUUGCAAAUUCAUUGAAGUNNNNNNNNNNNNNNNNNNNNNNNNNNNNNNNNNNNNNNNNNNNNNNNNNNNNNNNNNNNNNNNNNNNNNNNNNNNNNNNNNNNNNNNNNNNNNNNNNNNNUGGGAAGCCUACUAAAUGAUAGCAUUCUUCUCUUGUAUGACCAAAAAAUUUGCAGUUAUCGCAAUAGUAUCUGCUAUCUAAUUUUUUUCCAUUCUUAGCAUAUAUCCCCUUUCUCUUUGGUUCUUCCUUUUUUCCUUCUUUUUCAUAUUUCUUUGCAAAAAAAGCAUUAGACUCCCCACCCAAUUUUUCUUUGCAGUUGUCCCUAUGUUUUUCUUCUUGUGUUGCCAAACAGAAGACUUGAUUCAUAGUAGGGAGUUCAGGGUAUGCUAGAAUCUGACUCCUAAGAUUCCUGAAAUUGUCAUUCAAUCCUAGCAAAAAAUGAUGUAUUCUAUGUUUUUCCAAUUUCCUAUUAUAAAUUGGAAUACAAUUUGCACAAAAAUUGCAGUCGGGUUUCUCAAUUUCAACAAACUGAUCCCACAAUGACUUAAAUCUAUCAAAGAAAAUGGAAACAGUUUCAUCUGAUUGACUUAAGGUAUUUAUCUCAUACCUUAGCUGACUUGUCUUAGGUGCAUUUUUCUGUUUGUAUCUUUCUUGGAGAUCAGCCCAUGCUUCAUAUGCAACUUCUGUAUGAAUUAGAGUUGACGCGAUUUGGGGAGAAACACUGUUGUUGAUCCAAGAGAGGACUAGGCCAUUUAGCAUUUCCCAAUCCUCAUAAUCUUCCCCUGUUUCAUUCAUAGGUUUUUUUAUUUUUCCAUUUAUAAAAACUGUCUUCUUCCUUGAAACUAAAGACAACUUCAUACUGUUUGCCCAAGCUACAUAAUUCCCUUCUCCUGUAAGUUUAUCUGCCACCAUUUGGGCACCUGGGUGGUCUCCAACAGUUAGAUAAUAAGGAGAGGUUCUUGAGUACUUGGUCUCUUUCUUGUGUUUUUUAAAACCUGUUUUCUUCUUCAACCUGCUGGAAUUCUUUGAAUUAAUUGAAGAAGAUUUACUUUUACCUUGGCUGCUCGAAUUUGUGGAGCUUUCUUCAUUGGAAAUCUCCUUUUCUUUAUCAGAGCCUACAAUCUUAGCGGAAGCGGAUUUACUUGAAUUGCGGUCAGCGGCUGGAACAUCCGAUACCAUGUUAAAUCCGUGGGAGGGUGACCGCCGGUGCUAUCGAGUGAUUGACUGAGGUCGAAUUGGCCGGACAGACACCCAAUUCGUUGCUUAGCAACGAGAGGAAGAAAGGGGCGGAUUCUAGGGUUCUUCGUAUUAACUGCUCCCCUAGUAUCCGUUAAACGUAGGUUUAGGAAGAAUUCAAUUGUGUCUAAUUUGAUUCAUUAAUCAUGGUUUUACAGGGUAUUAUAUAUACUAAUUACAGUUGGACUUAAUUAACACUAAUUACAGUUAUUACAACAGUAUUAGAUCUUAACUGUAUUGCUAAUAUUAACAAUAAUAUUAACACUUAAUUAACUGCAUCUGCUCUGGUCCGUAGCCCAUUCAAUUUCAGCCCAACUGUAUUAUUGGAACAUUUGCAAUCUUUACCCAAAGUUUCUUUGUUAUUACAAAUAUAUCAUUCACUUAAAUAUUUGCAAUCUUUACCCAAAGUUUCUUUGUUAUUACAAAUAUAUCAUUCACUUAAAUAUUUGCAAUCUUUACCCAAAGUUUCUUUGUUAUUAUUUUGGGUCAUUUAUCUGUCUAGUAUUCUUCAACAGAUAAUUGCUCUUAGGUCCUGUAACCAUGAUUAAGAUAUUUUUAUAAAUCAAAUUAUAUUAUUCUGAUUUACAUACUGUAAUUCCUUUAAAUCCAACAUACUCUAAGUGUUUAUCUUCACUUGAGUUAAUUCACAGUGAUGUUUGGGGACCUGCCCCCAUCUAUUCCUAUAAUGAUCAUCGUUAUUUUGUUUUUUUUAUUGAUGAUUUUUCAAGGUUCAUUUGGAUCUACCCUAUUAAACGUAAAUCUGAAGUUGCAGAGAUAUUCCAAAAGUUCCAUGUCAUGAUUGAGAGACAAAUAGGAACCAAAAUUAAAUCAUUCCAUGCCAGUCUGAUUCUGGGAGAGAAUUUACAGCACUAACUUCCUACUUUACUACUUAUGGCAUCCACCAUAGGAGAUCGUGUCCCCACACACAUGAGCAAAGCGAAACAGCUGAGAGAAAAAUCAGACAUAUUGUUGAUACUGGUUUAAUUAUGCUAGCUCAUGCUAAAAUCCCUUUCACAUACUGGAAUUUUUCUAUUUCAGCAGCAUUGUUCACCAUAAAUCAAGUCCCAUCCAAAACACAAGGAGUUUCGCCAAUACAUAAAUUGUUCAAUAUUCUACCCAAACACUUAUUCUUUAAAGUCUUUAGGUGUGAAAUGUUCUCACUUCUUAGAUCAUACAAUUAACAUAAGUUUUCUCUUCGGUCAGUAUCAUGUGUGUUUCUCAAUUAUAGCCCAUCUUAUAUAGGGUAUAUUUGUCUGGAUCCCAAAAGUCACAAAAUCUAUAUCUCACGUCAUUGAUCCUUCUUAGAAAAUUCUUUUCCGUUUGCAAAAUUACAGGUAUCCCAAGGUGCACCAACUGAAGUUCAGUCAAGUUCAUGGGUAGUGCUAUCGAUAAAUCUAUCCAUUCCAACUGAAGUUCACCAUCAUAUGAUCAACAAUUGAAUCCAGUCUCGCCAGAAUCUGUGGGGUCCACCAUAUCUCCAAGGAAUGAAUCGGUAACCUCGUCAACUCGGAAUGUUGAAACUGCAAGUAGUUCUCUGAAUCCUCCUGUUCAACAACGGUCUCUCAGAAAUAUUCUUCGAGUUGACUAUCGUACACUUGCCGGUCUGGAAGUAAAGAAGCAAUCAGCAACAUAAAAGAGUCAUUACAGACUGCUUAUGCUGAACUGGAUUAAUAUCGAAAUAAAUAAAACAUGAGGUUAUGCAGGUUUGUGAAGAGAAAGAAAAGGCAAGGACGAAAGUGCAAUCUUCACCACUUAAAACAACACGAAUGGGCCAAUAUGAAUAAUUGGGCCACUACUGGGCUAUUAGUCCACUUAAGUAAA